rnacentral:sRNA from 1 species
GCCUAUCACAAUAUCAGAGAUAUUGACAAAGCCCUCUCCAUUUUUAAUGAGCUAAGGAAACAAGACCCUUACAGGAUUGAAAAUAUGGACACAUUCUCCAACCUUCUUUAUGUCAGGAGCAUGAAAUCGGAGUUGAGUUAUCUGGCUCAUAACCUCUGUGAGAUUGAUAAAUAUCGUGUAGAAACGUGCUGUGUAAUUGGCAAUUAUUACAGUUUACGUUCUCAGCAUGAGAAAGCAGCCUUAUAUUUCCAGAGAGCCCUGAAAUUAAAUCCUCGGUAUCUUGGUGCUUGGACACUGAUGGGACAUGAGUACAUGGAGAUGAAGAACACGUCUGCUGCUAUCCAGGCUUAUAGACAUGCCAUUGAGGUCAACAAACGAGACUACAGAGCUUGGUAUGGCCUUGGGCAGACCUAUGAAAUCCUUAAGAUGCCAUUUUACUGCCUUUAUUAUUAUAGACGGGCCCACCAGCUUCGGUAAGCCUGGUCACAUGACAAUGCGUCUGAUAUGGGAAGGGCUAAUAACUUUUUUUUCCUCUUUUGAUAGCUAUUGACAAAUCACAGUGGAUGGUUUUGACUCUUGGGGAUCUGAGUUUAAAGUUGCUAAAUGCUGUUUGGUGGGUUAAUAGUAUAAUUAUGAACACAAAGUAAUCUAUUAUAUGGAGCAUCAGGUUAAAGACCAGUUGUUGGCAUAGAUUUGAAAUAGUGGUGUACUGGUUCCUCAAGGGAGAACUUCAGUUUCUGUAAAAAGUCUUUGCUCAGACUGCCUGUUCUUCUUUCUCAGACCCAAUGAUUCUCGCAUGCUGGUUGCUUUAGGAGAAUGUUAUGAGAAACUCAAUCAACUAGUGGAAGCCAAAAAGUGUUAUUGGAGAGCUUACGCCGUGGGAGAUGUGGAGAAAAUGGCUCUGGUGAAACUGGCAAAGCUUCAUGAACAGUUGACUGAGUCAGAACAGGCUGCCCAGUGUUACAUCAAAUAUAUCCAAGAUAUCUAUUCCUGUGGGGUAUGUAUCAUACCAUGAGAAUUGUAUUGCUGAUAUUAUUACUGUCACCUCAGUCAUUUUGCUUUCCCUUUCUAGGAAAUAGUAGAACACUUGGAGGAAAGCACUGCUUUUCGCUAUCUGGCCCAGUACUAUUUUAAGUGCAAACUGUGGGAUGAAGC